rnacentral:misc_RNA from 1 species
ACAGAAUCUUUAACCUUUUUCUUGGUUAAAGGAUAUGGGCAGUCCGCGGUUAGCGGUGGCCUAAAAUAUAUGGUCAGUCUCAUCGAGUUGAGAUGCGUAAUAAUUAUUAUUUCGCAAAACUAUUUGAUGAACUACCAAGUUUUGAUUCAUUCAACUAUAUGUUGAGUGCGGUUAAAACAAAUAUUUUUUG